rnacentral:rRNA from 1 species
UUUAUGGAGAGUUUGAUCCUGGCUCAGGAUGAACGCUGGCGGCGUGCCUAAUACAUGCAAGUCGAGCGAACGGACGAGAAGCUUGCUUCUCUGAUGUUAGCGGCGGACGGGUGAGUAACACGUGGAUAACCUACCUAUAAGACUGGGAUAACUUCGGGAAACCGUAGCUAAUACCGGAUAAUAUUUUGAACCGCAUGGUUCAAAAGUGAAAGACGGUCUUGCUGUCACUUAUAGAUGGAUCCGCGCUGCAUUAGCUAGUUGGUAAGGUAACGGCUUACCAAGGCAACGAUGCAUAGCCGACCUGAGAGGGUGAUCGGCCACACUGGAACUGAGACACGGUCCAGACUCCUACGGGAGGCAGCAGUAGGGAAUCUUCCGCAAUGGGCGAAAGCCUGACGGAGCAACGCCGCGUGAGUGAUGAAGGUCUUCGGAUCGUAAAACUCUGUUAUUAGGGAAGAACAUAUGUGUAAGUAACU